GUCUUCGUGAUGUAACUGGAAGCACGUCCGACUGGCAAUCGGGAGGUCCGAAGUUCGAAUUUUAGAGAGGACA
rnacentral:tRNA from 1 species